GAAGUAAAUUUCUUGACCGCCUUUAAGAAGGUAAAUUUUGAGAAGUGAUCCAGGAUGAUAAAUAUUCCUAUGUUGCCCCUUCUGCUUCGAGGAAAGGGACCAAUGAAAUCGAUGUACAACCGUUGAAAGGGACGUUCGCUAACUACUCUAGCGCCCAUAGGAGGUUUGAGAGAGCGUGUGGGAUGUUUUGUGGUCUGGAAUACAUCACAUGCGGAAAUAUAAUCGCGGACGUCUAUAACCAUUUUUGGCCAGUAAAAUCGUUGCCUUAUUUGGUCGAGGCAUUUGGCAAUCCCACAAUGUGCAGAGGAAGGUUGGUCAUGCGCAGCUUUAAUUACGCCCUGUCUCAAGGCUUCGGGAACAAAUAAUUUCCACGACUCAUCGGCUGGGUCAGAAUCCAACACGGAAAACCUUGUACGAUAAUAUAUGUAAUCGUCGUUUAAUUGAAAAUCUGGGAGUUUGGAAAGCACGAAUUUCUCUCUGAGUGAUCGAUACUCCGGCGACUGAAACGCAUCCGACUUUAUAUCGAUUUCCGGUAACACUUCGCAUUCCAAAACCGCUACUUCCGUAACACCUUCGAAUGAACGAGACAAAGCGUCAGCCACUACAUUUUCGCUUCCUUUCCUAUGCUCGAUUUCGAAC
rnacentral:lncRNA from 1 species